rnacentral:rRNA from 1 species
GGUUAAGCGACUAAGCGUACACGGUGGAUGCCCUGGCAGUCAGAGGCGAUGAAGGACGUGCUAAUCUGCGAAAAGCGCCGGCGAGGUGAUAUGAACCCUUGACCCGGCGAUGUCCGAAUGGGGAAACCCAGUGCAAUCCGUUGCACUAUCGUUAACUGAAUACAUAGGUUAACGAGGCGAACCGGGGGAACUGAAACAUCUAAGUACCCCGAGGAAAAGAAAUCAACCGAGAUUCCCCCAGUAGCGGCGAGCGAACGGGGAGCAGCCCGGAGUCUGAAUCAGCUUGUGUGUUAGUGGAACGGUCUGGAAAGUCCGACGGUACAGGGUGAUAGUCCCGUACACGAAAGCACACAUGCUGUGAACUCGAAGAGUAGGGCGGGACACGUGGUAUCCUGUCUGAAUAUGGGGGGACCAUCCUCCAAGGCUAAAUACUCCUGACUGACCGAUAGUGAACCAGUACCGUGAGGGAAAGGCGAAAAGAACCCCGGCGAGGGGAGUGAAAAAGAACCUGAAACCGUGUACGUACAAGCAGUGGGAGCCUCUUUAUGGGGUGACUGCGUACCUUUUGUAUAAUGGGUCAGCGACUUAUAUUCUGUAGCAAGGUUAACCGUAUAGGGGAGCCGAAGGGAAACCGAGUCUUAACUGGGCGUUAAGUUGCAGGGUAUAGACCCGAAACCCGGUGAUCUAGCCAUGGGCAGGUUGAAGGUUGGGUAACACUAACUGGAGGACCGAACCGACUAAUGUUGAAAAAUUAGCGGAUGACCUGUGGCUGGGGGUGAAAGGCCAAUCAAACCGGGAGAUAGCUGGUUCUCCCCGAAAGCUAUUUAGGUAGCGCCUCGUGAACUCAUCUUCGGGGGUAGAGCACUGUUUCGGCUAGGGGGCCAUCCCGGCUUACCAACCCGAUGCAAACUACGAAUACCGAAGAAUGUUAUCACGGGAGACACACGGCGGGUGCUAACGUCCGUCGUGAAGAGGGAAACAACCCAGACCGCCAGCUAAGGUCCCAAAGUCAUGGUUAAGUGGGAAACGAUGUGGGAAGGCACAGACAGCCAGGAUGUUGGCUUAGAAGCAGCCAUCAUUUAAAGAAAGCGUAAUAGCUCACUGGUCGAGUCGGCCUGCGCGGAAGAUGUAACGGGGCUAAACCAUGCACCGAAGCUGCGGCAGCGACACUAUGUGUUGUUGGGUAGGGGAGCGUUCUGUAAGCCGUUGAAGGUGUGCUGUGAGGCAUGCUGGAGGUAUCAGAAGUGCGAAUGCUGACAUAAGUAACGAUAAAGCGGGUGAAAAGCCCGCUCGCCGGAAGACCAAGGGUUCCUGUCCAACGUUAAUCGGGGCAGGGUGAGUCGACCCCUAAGGCGAGGCCGAAAGGCGUAGUCGAUGGGAAACAGGUUAAUAUUCCUGUACUUGGUGUUACUGCGAAGGGGGGACGGAGAAGGCUAUGUCAGCCGGGCGACGGUUGUCCCGGUUUAAGCAUGUAGGCGGAGGUUCCAGGUAAAUCCGGUACCUUGUUAACGCUGAGGUGUGAUGACGAGGCACUACGGUGCUGAAGUGAUAAAUGCCCUGCUUCCAGGAAAAGCCUCUAAGCAUCAGGUAACACGAAAUCGUACCCCAAACCGACACAGGUGGUCAGGUAGAGAAUACCAAGGCGCUUGAGAGAACUCGGGUGAAGGAACUAGGCAAAAUGGUGCCGUAACUUCGGGAGAAGGCACGCUGAUGUGUAGGUGAAGCCCCUGCGGGUGGAGCUGAAAUCAGUCGAAGAUACCAGCUGGCUGCAACUGUUUAUUAAAAACACAGCACUGUGCAAACACGAAAGUGGACGUAUACGGUGUGACGCCUGCCCGGUGCCGGAAGGUUAAUUGAUGGGGUUAGCGGCAACGCGAAGCUCUUGAUCGAAGCCCCGGUAAACGGCGGCCGUAACUAUAACGGUCCUAAGGUAGCGAAAUUCCUUGUCGGGUAAGUUCCGACCUGCACGAAUGGCGUAAUGAUGGCCAGGCUGUCUCCACCCGAGACUCAGUGAAAUUGAACUCGCUGUGAAGAUGCAGUGUACCCGCGGCAAGACGGAAAGACCCCGUGAACCUUUACUAUAGCUUGACACUGAACACUGGUCCUUGAUGUGUAGGAUAGGUGGGAGGCUUUGAAGCGUGGACGCCAGUCUGCGUGGAGCCGCCCUUGAAAUACCACCCUUUAAUGGCUGGUGUUCUAACGUGGACCCGUUACCCGGGUUGCGGACAGUGUCUGGUGGGUAGUUUGACUGGGGCGGUCUCCUCCCAAAGAGUAACGGAGGAGCACGAAGGUUGGCUAAUCCUGGUCGGACAUCAGGAGGUUAGUGCAAUGGCAUAAGCCAGCUUGACUGCGAGCGUGACGGCGCGAGCAGGUGCGAAAGCAGGUCAUAGUGAUCCGGUGGUUCUGAAUGGAAGGGCCAUCGCUCAACGGAUAAAAGGUACUCCGGGGAUAACAGGCUGAUACCGCCCAAGAGUUCAUAUCGACGGCGGUGUUUGGCACCUCGAUGUCGGCUCAUCACAUCCUGGGGCUGAAGUAGGUCCCAAGGGUAUGGCUGUUCGCCAUUUAAAGUGGUACGCGAGCUGGGUUUAGAACGUCGUGAGACAGUUCGGUCCCUAUCUGCCGUGGGCGCUGGAGAAUUGAGGGGGGCUGCUCCUAGUACGAGAGGACCGGAGUGGACGCAUCACUGGUGUUCGGGUUGUCAUGCCAAUGGCACUGCCCGGUAGCUAAAUGCGGAAGAGAUAAGUGCUGAAAGCAUCUAAGCACGAAACUUGCCCCGAGAUGAGUUCUCCCUGAGACUUUAAGUCUCCUGAAGGAACGUUGAAGACGACGACGUUGAUAGGUCGGGUGUGUAAGCGCAGCGAUGCGUUGAGCUAACCGAUACUAAUGAACCGUGAGGCUUAACCUU